rnacentral:lncRNA from 1 species
AAAGAUGGAGUUCCCAUUUGGGCACCAGCAGCACCACCACCACCAUAGGAGCCAUGAAGAGAGAGAAGAGGAGAGGAACCCAAAUGAAGAAGAGCCAUACCAGAGACACCCUCCUGAGCCUCGCUUUGAAAGGCCCCCACCCCCUGAAUUCUCCCCAUUUGAGAGGCCUCCUCAACCUGCUUAUGAUCCAUAUGAAAGGCCUGUUACUGAUGAAUUUGGUAAUCCCUCAUUUCAAAGGCCUCGUCCUCCUCAACCUGCUUAUGAUCCAUAUGAAAGGCCUGUUACUGAUGAAUUUGGUGAUCCCUCAUUUCAAAGGCCUCCUCCUCCUGGUGAAUAUGGCGAGGAUCCAUAUCGGAG